UACGUAGGGUGCAAGCGUUAAUCGGAAUUACUGGGCGUAAAGCGUGCGCAGGCGGCUUUGCAAGACAGAUGUGAAAUCCCCGGGCUUAACCUGGGAACUGCAUUUGUGACUGCAAGGCUAGAGUACGGCAGAGGGGGGUGGAAUUCCGCGUGUAGCAGUGAAAUGCGUAGAUAUGCGGAGGAACACCGAUGGCGAAGGCAAUCCCCUGGGCCUGUACUGACGCUCAUGCACGAAAGCGUGGGGAGCAAACAGG
rnacentral:rRNA from 1 species